ACACUUCCUGCCUAUUCCCCCCUCUCACUCUUGCUCACCGCUCCAUGCCGCUUUAUCUCCUUUGUCGCUCAAAAUCAUCGCAAAAAACCUAAACCUCAAACCAUCAAAUCCAUUUUCACAAUUUCUCUCAGAAUCGGCGCUUCUCUCUCGCUCACCGCUUCAUCGUCAACAAAUCUCAACCGUAGCCGCACUACAAGCCCAUCUGGAUGGAAAACCCAUGAAGAAAUCUUGGUCGUCGGUUGACAAUCGAACUGCAACAUCGUCUUGACUCACCUCAGUAUCAGCAGAUUCUAGCUUCAAACCCUCUCCGACCCUUCUACCCAAAAGCUUUCUCACCGAUUUGUCAUCAAAUCAUAUCAAGCUCCAUUCAUGUCCACUUCUAUUCAUAAAAGCCCGCCUUUUGUCAAUGGCGACAACGGAGGCUAGGCUUGGAGCUAAACCAGAACCAAAAGAAAUUGAAGAGAGUUCUGAACCUCUUCUCAAAUACAAGAUUUUGCAACAGCAAUUGCAUGUGAGGCAAGGAAGCCGUUGGUGAUAGAGAGGGUGAAGGUUGUUCCACCUAAUGCCAUGGAAAUGAGGGUAAAGGUCAAAAUAUACCUCAGUUUAUCACAUUGAACUCUACUUCUGCCGAAGGCACAUUUACUUCGAGUGAAUACAUUGGUGUUCAUUGUGGCCGUCUUUCCAAAAUUAAGCCCCUUGCUCAGUUGGACAAAGUUUGCAUCCUCAGUUGUGCCAUACCGACAAUAUCAAGUUUGGGUACCCCUCUGAAUGUAGCUAAACGAAAAAUUAUCCUCAGUUGCUGUUUAUUGGCCUUGCUGUAAGUUUGGAGAAACUUUGUUGAUCCCAAAUUCUUUGUUCUAAUAAAUUGCGUUUAUUUUCUUUUCCGUAUUUAUACUGAUAGAUGCAUGAUCUAGGUCAUAACUAAAAAAUUUGGAGUAAAUGAUUUUGUGAAUUUGAGUGACAAUGACAAACCAGUGCACGAGAUGAUAAAUGAUUUGCUAUUGUUAUUAUGUGUUGGACAUGAGUCAACAUAGGUAGUUAAGUUAUAACUUCAACUUAUAUUUUUAUUUUCUUCUGCUUCUCAUCUACCCAAGUCUACAAUGUACAUGCAGCUAAGGAGAAGACCGAGACAUCAACCAGUGCAUAAGCUUCUGAUAAGACUAAUUGCAGAUAGCACUACAAAUGAGCACCACAAAUUUAAGCUUGAUGUUGUGUGAGAAAAUGGCUUCAAGAUUGGAAUUUCCAUCAUCUGGGAAAAGGAAAACAGGAAGAGAACACCAAUUGUGGUGACGAUGGAGAAUCCCUUCUUUACGGUGGAAAUCAACGAUCUAUGUGCAACAUUUAGCCCAGUUUAUAAGAGGAAGAACUAAUUACAUGGGUUUAUCAAGUUUUGUACUGAGCCGGUGGCUUUCUCCGUACACCUCUUCAGCUCCGUCGCCGGCGGCGGUGCAUUCUUUCCACAACUCUCCGUUUCGAGUCUCCACUUUCGAGCUCGUUUCAUUCUCUACUGCCGCUUCCACCUGGUUCCGCUUCGCCGAUCAGAUAUCCAAUUGUGGAAUGCGUAUAAUGUGAAUGGGAGGUGGUUUUCAAGUGAGGCAAUGGCUGAUGUUGCAGC
rnacentral:sRNA from 1 species